AGAGUUUGAUCAUGGCUCAGGACUAACGCUGGCGGCGUGCCUAAGACAUGCAAGUCGAACGAGAGGAAGGGAGCAAUCCCUUUAGUACAGUGGCGAAAGGGUGAGUAAUACGUGGGCAACCUACCCAUAGGACUGGGACAACCUCGCGAAAGCGGGGCUAAUACCAGAUGUUGUCACAGAGACCACGGUUUUUGUGAUGAAAGGAGCAAUCCGCCUAUAGAGGGGCCCGCGGCCUAUCAGCUAGUUGGUGAGGUAACGGCCCACCAAGGCUAAGACGGGUAGCUGGCGUGAGAGCGCGACCAGCCACACUGGAACUGAGAUACGGUCCAGACUCCUACGGGAGGCAGCAGUCGGGAAUUUUGGACAAUGGGCGAAAGCCUGAUCCAGCGACGCCGCGUGCGGGAAGACGUCCUUCGGGAUGUAAACCGCUGUCGGAUGGGACGAACACAAUGACGGUACCAUCGGAGGAAGCACCGGCUAACUCUGUGCCAGCAGCCGCGGUAAGACAGAGGGUGCAAGCGUUGUCCGGAUUGACUGGGUGUAAAGGGCGUGUAGGCGGCCGAGUAAGUCUGACGUGAAAACAUCACCGCUCAACGGGAUGUACGCGUUGGAAACUGUUCGGCUUGAGUACAGGAGAGGUUAACGGAAUUCCAGGUGUAGCGGUGGAAUGUGUAGAUAUCUGGAGGAACACCGGUGGCGAAAGCGGUUAACUGGCCUGUGACUGACGCUGAGGCGCGAAAGCCAGGGGAGCAAACGGGAUUAGAUACCCCGGUAGUCCUGGCCGUAAACGAUGGAUACUAGGUGUGGGAGGUAUCGACCCCUUCCGUGCCGCAGUUAACGCAUUAAGUAUCCCACCUGGGGAGUACGGUCGCAAGACUGAAACUCAAAAGAAUUGACGGGGGCCCGCACAAGCGGUGGAGCAUGUGGUUUAAUUCGACGCAACGCGAAGAACCUUACCAGGGCUUGACAUGUAUGUGGUAGAAACUUG
rnacentral:rRNA from 1 species